CUUGUACUUCGUGUAAUAAUUAUAAAGAGUAUUUAAGCAAUUCUUCAUUGACCUAAACAAAAAAUUCGACCACUCGUCAGUAGAUUUAGCCGUAAUAUUAUUUGCUGCUGCAUCAAUUACCCAUCGUAAGUUCUUAGGAUGAUGUAUAGCUUCAAGCAACUUACUGUAGUUUUAAUGCUGUGGUUCUCGUUGCUGUAAUUAAUGUAUAAAUGC